rnacentral:rRNA from 1 species
AUUGAACGCUGGCGGCGGGCCUAAUACAUGCAAGUCGAACGAGUGGCGGACGGGUGAGUAAUGUCUGGGAAACUGCCUGAUGGAGGGGGAUAACUACUGGAAACGGUAGCAAAUACCGCAUACCAUCGGAUGUGCCCUGAUGGGAUUAGCUAGUAGGGGGGGAAACGGCUCACCUAGGCGACGAUCCCUAGCGGGUCUGAGAGGAUGAUCAGCCACACUGGAACUGAGACACGGCCCAGACUCCUACGGGAGGCAGCAGUGGGGAAUAUUGCACAAUGGGCGCAAGCCUGAUGCAGCCAUGCCGCGUGUAUGAAGAAGGCCUUCGGGUUGUAAAGUACUUUCAGCGGGGAGGCGUUACCCGCAGAAGAAGCACCGGCUAACUCCGUGCCAGCAGCCGCGGUAAUUC